rnacentral:rRNA from 1 species
UACGAAGGGGGCUAGCGUUGCUCGGAAUGACUGGGCGUAAAGGGCGCGUAGGCGGAUGGCUUUGUCGGGCGUGAAAUUCCAGGGCUUAACCUUGGGGCUGCGUUCGAGACGGGUUGUCUUGAGUGGGGAAGAGGGUCGUGGAAUUCCCAGUGUAGAGGUGAAAUUCGUAGAUAUUGGGAAGAACACCGGUGGCGAAGGCGGCGACCUGGUCCUUUUACUGACGCUGAGGCGCGAAAGCUAGGGGAGCAAACGGG